rnacentral:rRNA from 1 species
UACGUAGGGUGCAAGCGUUGUCCGGAUUUAUUGGGCGUAAAGAGCUCGUAGGCGGUCUGUCGCGUCGAAUGUGAAAACCCGGGGCUCAACCCCGGGCCUGCAUUCGAUACGGGCAGACUAGAGUUCGGUAGGGGAGACUGGAAUUCCUGGUGUAGCGGUGAAAUGCGCAGAUAUCAGGAGGAACACCGGUGGCGAAGGCGGGUCUCUGGGCCGAUACUGACGCUGAGGAGCGAAAGCGUGGGGAGCAAACAGG